GAGUUUGAUCCUGGCUCAGGAUAAACGCUGGCGGCGUGCCUAACACAUGCAAGUCGCACGUCCUGGGGUCUUUCGGGACCGCAGGGAGUGGCGGACGGGUGAGGAACACGUGGGUGACCUACCUUUCAGUGAGGAAUACCGGCGAGAAAUCGCCGACAAGACCGCAUACGGUUGCUGCUUCAGCGCAGCAACGAAAGCUUCACGUGAGUGAGGCGCUGGAAGAUGGGCCCGCGGCCGAUUAGCUAGCUGGUGGGGUAAUGGCCUACCAGGGCGACGAUCGGUAGCUGGUCUGAGAGGACGAUCAGCCACACUGGGAUUGAGAACGGCCCAGACUCCUACGGGGGGCAGCAGUGAGGAAUUUUCGGCAAUGGGGGCAACCCUGACCGAGCAACGCCGCGUGCAGGACGACGGCCUUCGGGUUGUAAACUGCUUUUCUCUGGGACGAGCAAGGACGGUACCAGAGGAAGAAGCCCCGGCUAACUACGUGCCAGCAGCCGCGGUAAUACGUAGGGGGCGAGCGUUGUCCGGAGUUAUUGGGCGUAAAGCGCACGCAGGCGGUCAGGCAGGUGUGGGGUGACAGUGGUCGGCUUAACCGACCGAGUGCCUCGCAAACGGCGUGACUUGAGGGCCACAGAGGGACAUGGAACUCCAGGUGUAGUGGUGAAAUGCGUAGAUAUCUGGAAGAACACCAAAGGCGAAGGCAGUGUCCUGGGUGGUACCUGACGCUGAUGUGCGAAAGCCAGGGGAGCGAACGGGAUUAGAUACCCCGGUAGUCCUGGCCGUAAACGAUGACCACUAGAUGUGCGGGGUAUCGACCCCCUGCGUGUCGGAGUUAACGCAAUAAGUGGUCCGCCUGGGGAGUACGGUCGCAAGAUUAAAACUCAAAGGAAUUGACGG
rnacentral:rRNA from 1 species